rnacentral:rRNA from 1 species
AUUGAACGCUAGCGGGAUGCUUUACACAUGCAAGUCGAACGGCAGCGCGGACUUCGGUCUGGCGGCGAGUGGCGAACGGGUGAGUAAUGUAUCGGAACGUGCCCAGUAGCGGGGGAUAACUACGCGAAAGCGUAGCUAAUACCGCAUACGCCCUACGGGGGAAAGCAGGGGAUCGUAAGACCUUGCACUAUUGGAGCGGCCGAUAUCGGAUUAGCUAGUUGGUGAGGUAACGGCUCACCAAGGCGACGAUCCGUAGCUGUUUUGAGAGGACGACCAGCCACACUGGGACUGAGACACGGCCCAGACUCCUACGGGAGGCAGCAGUGGGGAAUUUUGGACAAUGGGGGCAACCCUGAUCCAGCCAUCCCGCGUGUGCGAUGAAGGCCUUCGGGUUGUAAAGCACUUUUGGCAGGAAAGAAACGUCGCGGGCUAAUACCCCGUGGAACUGACGGUACCUGCAGAAUAAGCACCGGCUAACUACGUG